ensembl:lncRNA
GUGGAGUAUUUUAGUGGUAGUGGUUAAUGUAGUAUAGUGGAGUAUUUUAGUGUAGUGUUAAUGUAGUAUAGUGGAGUAUUUAGUGUAGUGUAGUGUUAAUGUAGUAUAGUGGAGUAUUUUAGUGUAGUGUUAAUGUAGUAUAGUGGAGUAUUUUAGUGUAGUGUUAAUGUAGUAUAGUGGAGUAUUUUAGUGUAGUGUUAAUGUAGUAUAGUGGAGUAUUUUAGUGUAUUGUAGUUGUAAUGUAGUAUAGUGGAGUAUUUUAGUGUAUUAUAGUGUAGUGUUAAUGUAGUAUAGUGGAGUAUUGUAGUGUAUGUAGUGGUUAAUGUAGUAUAGUGGAGUAUUUUAGUGUAGUGUAGUGUUAAUGUAAUGUAGUAGGUGGAGUAUUUUAGUGUAGUGUUAAUGUAGUAUAGUGGAGUAUUUUAGUGUAUGUUAAUGUAGUAUGUGGAGUAUUUUAGUGUAGUGUUAAUGUAGUAUAGUGGAGUAUUUUAGUGUAGUGUUAAUGUAGUAUAGUGGAGUAUUUUAGUGUAGUGUUAAUGUAGUAUAGUGGAGUAUUUUUAGUGUAGUGUUACUGUAGUAUAGUGGCGUAUUUUAGUGUAGUGUUAAUGUAGUAUAGUGGAGUAUUUUAGUGUCGUGUUAAUGUAGUCUAGUGGAGUCUUUUAGUGUAGUGUUAAUGUAGUAUAGUGGAGUAUUUUAGUGUAGUGUUAAUGUAGUAUAGUGGAGUAUUUUAGUGUAGUGUAGUGUUAAUGUAGUAUAGUGGAGUAUUUAGUUGUAGUGUAGUGUUAAUGUAGUAUAGUGGAGUAUUUUAGUGUAGUGUUAAUGUAGUAUAGUG